rnacentral:rRNA from 1 species
UACGUAGGGUGCGAGCGUUAAUCGGAAUUACUGGUCGUAAAGUGCGCGCAGGCGGCCGCGCAAGUCGAGUGUGAAAUCCCCGGGCUUAACUUGGGAAUUGCGCUCGAAACUACGUGGCUGGAGUGUGGCAGAGGAAGGUGGAAUUCCACGUGUAGCGGUGAAAUGCGUAGAGAUGUGGAGGAACACCAAUGGCGAAGGCAGCCUUCUGGGCCAACACUGACGCUCAUGCACGAAAGCGUGGGGAGCAAACAGG